rnacentral:rRNA from 1 species
GAUGAACGCUGGCGGCGUGCCUAAUACAUGCAAGUCGAGCGAACAGAUGAGGAGCUUGCUCCUCUGACGUUAGCGGCGGACGGGUGAGUAACACGUGGAUAACCUACCUAUAAGACUGGGAUAACUUCGGGAAACCGGAGCUAAUACCGGAUAAUAUAUUGAACCGCAUGGUUCAAUAGUGAAAGACGGUUUUGCUGUCACUUAUAGAUGGAUCCGCGCCGCAUUAGCUAGUUGGUAAGGUAACGGCUUACCAAGGCAACGAUGCGUAGCCGACCUGAGAGGGUGAUCAGCCACACUGGAACGGAGACACGGUCCAGACUCCUACGGGAGGCAGCAGUAGGGAAUCUUCCGCAAUGGGCGAAAGCCUGACGGAGCAACGCCGCGUGAGUGAUGAAGGUCUUCGGAUCGUAAAACUCUGUCAUUAGGGAAGAACAAAUGUGUAAGUAACUAUGCACGUCUUGACGGUACCUAAUCAGAAAGCCACGGCUAACUACGUG